ACGCUGGCGGCGUGCCUAACACAUGCAAGUCGAGCGGUAACAGGUGUAGCAAUACAUGCUGACGAGCGGCGAACGGGUGAGUAAUGCUUCGGAAUCUGCCCAAUGGUGGGGAAUAACCAGCCGAAAGGUUGGCUAAUACCGCAUAAGUCCUACGGGGGAAAGCAGGGGAUCGCAAGACCUUGCGCCGAUGGAUGAGCCGAAGUCGGAUUAGCUAGUUGGUAGGGUAACGGCCUACCAAGGCGACGAUCCGUAGCUGGUCUGAGAGGACGACCAGCCACACUGGGACUGAGACACGGCCCAGACUCCUACGGGAGGCAGCAGUGGGGAAUAUUGGACAAUGGGGGAAACCCUGAUCCAGCGACGCCGCGUGUGUGAAGAAGGCCUGCGGGUUGUAAAGCACUUUUAGUGGGGAUGAAAAGCUCAGGGCUAAUACCUCUGGGUCUUGACCUAACCCAAAGAAAAAGCACCGGCUAACUCUGUGCCAGCAGCCGCGGUAAUACAGA
rnacentral:rRNA from 1 species